rnacentral:rRNA from 1 species
CAGCAGCCGCGGUAAUACGGAGGGGGCUAGCGUUGUUCGGAAUUACUGGGCGUAAAGCGUACGUAGGCGGUUUUGUAAGUUAGAGGUGAAAGCCCGGAGCUCAACUCCGGAAUUGCCUUUAAGACUGCAUCGCUUGAACGUCGGAGAGGUGAGUGGAAUUCCGAGUGUAGAGGUGAAAUUCGUAGAUAUUCGGAAGAACACCAGUGGCGAAGGCGACUCUCUGGUCUGUAGCUGAUGCUGAGGAGCGAGAGCGUGGGGAGCGAACGGGAUUAGAGACCCGCGUAGUCCCUGUCUCUUAUAC